UUCUCGAUGCUGUUCUCCACUGAGGCCCUUCUCUCUGCUUUCUCCAUCUCCUGUUAUCCUCAGCUGAAAAACAAACUCAAGGCUAAGGCUGGCAGAUUGCUCGUUCUGUCUUGUGGGACGAGGGAGAAUUUUUAAGGCCAGAUCAUCUCAGAAAACACAAGACUAAACUUCUCUAAAAAGUCAGCUUCUAUUAAGGGCCCCACUGAGCUAUGCUGGAAGGAAAGAGAGGGAAUAUGACGGCUGGGGAAGCCCCAGGUGACAAGGAUUUCUGGGAAAAGAAGAGAGAUAAACAGACUGCAUUCGGUAGGGUUCUCUAAGGAAUAGAACCGAUAGAACGUGAGUAUAGAAAAGAGGGUUUUCUUAGAAGGACUUACAAUGUGCUGGAUGGGUCUGCACAGUCCAAUCCGACAGUGGCUGGAACCCGGGAGCUGCUCAAGUUACAAAGCCAGAUCCCUCAGUAGUUCCAAAUCUGGUGCCUGGAAGACUCCUGGAGAGCUACUGGCCUUCGGUCCACAUGAACUCCUGGAGACGCUGGAGCCAGCUGUCAGUGGAGAAAGACAGCCGUCUUAGAGAUGAACGCUCUCACCCGCAGGAAGUGGAGGCAGGCCAGCAAACAGUACUUAUCCCCUCUGACUUCCUUCUGUUUAGGUGGUUACCACCCUAAGUGCCGCCCACUCCAGGGGAGGGGCUCUCUUGGGAGUGUGUUUCUUUGCCAUUCUUCAUUUUCAGAUGAGGACAAUGACAAGAUCAUAACUCUCCUAACAUUAUAUAGUUAUCUCAUGAACCACUGAAAAUGCGCCCUUCUUCCCGCAGGAUAAAUGGCAAGGUCCCUUGAGGAAGGCAUAGUCUUUCAGUAGCCUAUAGCUUGACUAGGACAAUAUUAGUUGAAGAACAUUUAAUUACUGGUAUUAUCUCAGUCGUUACAUUACAGGGUAAAGGAACAAAAAAAAGGAAAAAAAAAACCACAAGUAUUUGCUUAAUGUAUUGUCUAUAUAUUCAAACACAUUCCUAACAAAAUCGGGACAGACCCACUCUCGGCAAUAACAACUCUCAUUUCUAUAGCAGGUCUUGUGGCCUUACCUGGAGUUAAUAAGUGUCUUCCACAACCCAUUCCAUAGCCCCUCCACCUUUGGUAAGCACCUCAGCCAGUCUUGGUUCUUUGCCUGGAGGAGGGACCCACUCUUGAAGGGUCUGGGCCGUGUAUCUUCCUGCUGGAUUGGGUUGCUGCAGCUUCCCAUUAACUUCAAUCACAAGGCAUAGCUCUUGUAUUUGAUAUGUUCUUCCUUACUUCCAUUGUGGAGAAACAAUCCAAGUUCCCUUUGGUCUGGGUCGCUCACCCCUCUUAACUCUGUUUUUCUUUUCAGACUAUUGACUCAAGGAUAUCAGGAACCCAAAGUGGCUAGGGAGAUGUCCUAGCUUCCAGCUCAGUGGGAUGUCUCCUGUGUCUCCUGGCAGAAACACUCCCACUUCUGGAACCAAGACUUCUAGACCAGCAGAGCAUGAGCUUGUGGGGAAAGAAAAAAAAAAAAAAAAAGCAGAGGUUUAGCUGCUGGCUCACUGGGGAUGAGGAUUAUGGGCACCUUACCAGUGGCUGUACCUGAAGAAAACGUGUCUCCUUUCUCUAUCAACCACUAAUGCCGUAAAUAAAGGCUCGGGAAAGGGUGGGACUCCCCGAGUCUCUAGCCUUCCCUGAGCAGAGCGUGG